GUCUGGAUGAUGAUCCAGUGUGUUUACUAUAACCAGUAGAGGUCUGGAUGAUGAUCCAGUGUGUUUACUAUAACCAGUAGAGGUCUGGAUGAUGAUCCAGUGUGUUAACUAUAACCAGUAGAGGUGUGGAUGAUGAUCCAGUGUGUUAACUAUAACCAGUAGAGGUGUGGAUGAUGAUCCAGUGUGUUAACUAUAACCAGUAGAGGUCUGGAUGAUGAUCCAGUGUGUUAACUAUAACCAGUAGAGGUCUGGAUGAUGAUCCAGUGUGUUAACUAUAACCAGUAGAGGUGUGGAUGAUGAUCCAGUGUGUUAACUAUAACCAGUAGAGGUGUGGAUGAUGAUCCAGUGUGUUUACUAUACCAGUAGAGGUCUGGAUGAUGAUCCAGUGUGUUAACUAUAACCAGUAGAGGUCUGGAUGAUGAUCCAGUGUGUUUACUAUAACCAGUAGAGGUGUGGAUGAUGAUCCAGUGUGUUAACUAUAACCAGUAGAGGUCUGGAUGAUGAUCCAGUGUGUUAACUAUAACCAGUAGAGGUGUGGAUGAUGAUCCAGUGUGUUUACUAUACCAGUAGAGGUCUGGAUGAUGAUCCAGUGUGUUAACUAUAACCAGUAGAGGUGUGGAUGAUGAUCCAGUGUGUUUACUAUACCAGUAGAGGUCUGGAUGAUGAUCCAGUGUGUUUACUAUAACCAGUAGAGGUCUGGAUGAUGAUCCAGUGUGUUUACUAUAACCAGUAGAGGUCUGGAUGAUGAUCCAGUGUGUUAACUAUAACCAGUAGAGGUGUGGAUGAUGAUCCAGUGUGUUUACUAUACCAGUAGAGGUCUGGAUGAUGAUCCAGUGUGUUAACUAUAACCAGUAGAGGUGUGGAUGAUGAUCCAGUGUGUUUACUAUAACCAGUAGAGGUGUGGAUGAUGAUCCAGUGUGUUUACUAUACCAGUAGAGGUCUGGAUGAUGAUCCAGUGUGUUAACUAUAACCAGUAGAGGUCUGGAUGAUGAUCCAGUGUGUUUACUAUAACCAGUAGAGGUCUGGAUGAUGAUCCAGUGUGUUAACUAUAACCAGUAGAGGUGUGGAUGAUGAUCCAGUGUGUUAACUAUAACCAGUAGAGGUCUGGAUGAUGAUCCAGUGUGUUUACUAUAACCAGUAGAGGUCUGGAUGAUGAUCCAGUGUGUUUACUAUAACCAGUAGAGGUCUGGAUGAUGAUCCAGUGUGUUUACUAUAACCAGUAGAGGUGUGGAUGAUGAUCCAGUGUGUUUACUAUAACCAGUAGAGGUCUGGAUGAUGAUCCAGUGUGUUAACUAUACCAGUAGAGGUCUGGAUGAUGAUCCAGUGUGUUAACUAUAACCAGUAGAGGU